rnacentral:rRNA from 1 species
CGGUAGGGGCGAAGGCGACUCUCUGGUCUGUAACUGACGCUGAGGAGCGAAAGCGUGGGGAGCGAACAGGAUUAGAUACCCUGGUAGUCCACGCCGUAAACGAUGAGUGCUAAGUGUUAGGGGGUUUCCGCCCCUUAGUGCUGCAGCUAACGCAUUAAGCACUCCGCCUGGGGAGUACGGUCGCAAGACUGAAACUCAAAGGAAUUGACGGGGGCCCGCACAAGCGGUGGAGCAUGUGGUUUAAUUCGAAGCAACGCGAAGAACCUUACCAGGUCUUGACAUCCUCUGACAAUCCUAGAGAUAGGACGUCCCCUUCGGGGGCAGAGUGACAGGUGGUGCAUGGUUGUCGUCAGCUCGUGUCGUGAGAUGUUGGGUUAAGUCCCGCAACGAGCGCAACCCUUGAUCUUAGUUGCCAGCAUUCAGUUGGGCACUCUAAGGUGACUGCCGGUGACAAACCGGAGGAAGGUGGGGAUGACGUCAAAUCAUCAUGCCCCUUAUGACCUGGGCUACACACGUGCUACAAUGGACAGAACAAAGGGCAGCGAGACCGCGAGGUUAAGCCUAUCCCACAAAUCUGUUCUCAGUUCAGAUCGCAGUCUGCAACUCGACUGCGUGAAGCUGGAAUCGCUGUAAUCGCGGAUCAACAUGCCGAGGUGAACACUUUCCCCGGGGUGUGUUCACACCGUCCGUCCCACCACAGCGUUAAAUAGAAACU